rnacentral:rRNA from 1 species
UACGAAGGGGGGCUAGCGUUGUUCGGAAUUACUGGGCGUAAAGCGCGCGCAGGCGGUCUUCCAAGUCAGUGGUGAAAGCCCGGAGCUCAACUCCGGAACUGCCAUUGAAAACUGUAAGACUUGAGGAUGAGAGAGGUGAGUGGAAUUCCCAGUGUAGAGGUGAAAUUCGUAGAUAUUGGGAAGAACACCGGUGGCGAAGGCGGCUCACUGGCUCAUAUCUGACGCUCAGGCGCGACAGCGUGGGGGAUCAAACAGG